AUUGAACGCUGGCGGCAGGCCUAACACAUGCAAGUCGAACGGUAACAGGAAGCAGCUUGCUGCUUCGCUGACGAGUGGCGGACGGGUGAGUAAUGUCUGGGAAACUGCCUGAUGGAGGGGGAUAACUACUGGAAACGGUAGCUAAUACCGCAUAACGUCGCAAGACCAAAGAGGGGGACCUUCGGGCCUCUUGCCAUCGGAUGGGCCCAGAUGGGAUUAGCUAGUAGGUGGGGUAACGGCUCACCUAGGCGACGAUCCCUAGCUGGUCUGAGAGGAUGACCAGCCACACUGGAACUGAGACACGGUCCAGACUCCUACGGGAGGCAGCAGUGGGGAAUAUUGCACAAUGGGCGCAAGCCUGAUGCAGCCAUGCCGCGUGUAUGAAGUAGGCCUUCGGGUUGUAAAGUACUUUCAGCGGGGAGGAAGGCGAUAAGGUUAAUAACCUUGUCGAUUGACGUUACCCGCAGAAGAAGCACCGGCUAACUCCGUGCCAGCAGCCGCCGUAA
rnacentral:rRNA from 1 species